GACGAACGCUGGCGGCGUGGAUUAGGCAUGCAAGUCGAACGGUAUCAUCCUUUCGGGGGUGAGAGAGUGGCGAACUGGUGAGUAACACGUAGGUUAUCUACCCUCAAGACGGGGACAACCCAGGGAAACUUGGGCUAAUACCGGAUGUGAGCAACUUUUAGUUGUUUGAAAGGUGGCGUAAGCUGUCGCUUGGGGAUGAGCCUGCGUCCUAUUAGUUAGUUGGUGAGGUAACGGCUCACCUAGGCAAUGAUAGGUAGGCGGCCUUAACGGGUGGUCGCCCACACUGGGAUUGAGAUACGGCCCAGACUCCUACGGAGGCAGCAGUCGAGAAUAGUCUACAAUGGUCGGAAGACUGAUAGUGCGACGCCGCGUGAACGAUGAAUCCCUUCGGGGUGUAAAGUUCUUUUAUAUGUGAGCAGUGCUUCUUAUAUUAACAGUAUGGGGAGAGAGAUAUUAGUAUAUGAAUAAGCAACGGCUAACUCCGUGCCAGCAGCCGCGGUAAAAAUCCACG
rnacentral:rRNA from 1 species